GGAUGUGAGGGUAAUCUGGCUGCGACAUCUUCACUCCACUGAUUGCCGGGGUUGAUUCAGUUGAUCUAGCUGGCUAGGCGGUGUCCUCUUCCUCACCACUCCACGUGCAUCCCUCCAGAAGUUGCACACUUGGCCAAAGAGGACAACCUUCCCAAGUAGAGGAAGAUGGGUCUUCUGUUAAGGGCAUAUGAGUAGCUGUACGGCCCUGGUAGAACCUCCAAACAAGCUCUCAAGGUCCAUUUGUAGGAAAAGGUAGGGUAAUCAAGCCUCCAAGACUCCAGACACAUCCAAAUGAGGCACUGCAUGUGGCAGUCUGCCUUUGUUU
rnacentral:snRNA from 1 species